GACGAACCGUGCGAACGUUGUUCGGAAUCACUGGGCUUAAAGGGCGCGUAGGCGGGCCGGCCAGUCUGUGGUGAAAUCCCCCGGCUUAACCGGGGAAUUGCCAUGGAUACUGCCGGCCUCGAGGAGGGUAGGGGCAUCUGGAACGAGCGGUGGAGCGGUGAAAUGCGUUGAUAUCGCUCGGAACUCCGGUGGCGAAGGCGAGGUGCUGGACCCUUUCUGACGCUGAUGCGCGAAAGCCAGGGGAGCAAACGGG
rnacentral:rRNA from 1 species